UACGGGAGGGUGCAAGCGUUGUCCGGAUUUAUUGGGUUUAAAGGGUGCGUAGGCGGCUUUUUAAGUCAGUGGUGAAAUACAGCAGCUCAACUGUUGAGGUGCCAUUGAUACUGAGAGGCUUGAGUACAGAUGAGGUAGGCGGAAUUUAUGGUGUAGCGGUGAAAUGCAUAGAUACCAUAAAGAACACCGAUUGCGAAGGCAGCUUACUAAGCUGUAACUGACGCUGAGGCACGAAAGCGUGGGGAGCGAACAGG
rnacentral:rRNA from 1 species